ACAUGUUACAGCUCUUUUAGAAUUUGUCUAGCAGGUGUUCUGACUUCGGUCGGAACCCCGCCCCC